rnacentral:rRNA from 1 species
UACGUAGGGGGCGAGCGUUGCCCGGAUUUAUUGGGCGUAAAGAGCGUGUAGGCGGCUUUACAGGUCCGUUGUGAAAACUCGAGGCUCAACCUCGAGACGCCGGUGGAAACCGUAAAGCUAGAGUCCGGAAGAGGAGAGUGGAAUUCCUGGUGUAGCGGUGAAAUGCGCAGAUAUCAGGAGGAACACCCGUGGCGAAAGCGGCUCUCUGGGACGGUACUGACGCUGAGACGCGAAAGCGUGGGGAGCAAACAGG